AUUGAACGCUGGCGGCGUGCUUAACACAUGCAAGUCGUGCGGUAACAGGCGUAGCAAUACGUGCUGACGAGCGGCGAACGGGUGCGUAAUACAUGGGAAUCUGCCCUUUAGUGGGGAAUAACCCGGCGAAAGCCGGGCUAAUGCCGCAUAAGAUCUUCGGAUGAAAGCGGGGGAUCGUAAGACCUCGCGCUGAUGGAUGAGCCCAUGCCGGAUUAGCUAGUUGGUGAGGUAACGGCUCACCAAGGCGACGAUCCGUAGCUGGUCUGAGAGGACGGCCAGCCACACUGGGACUGAGACACGGCCCAGACUCCUACGGGAGGCAGCAGUGGGGAAUAUUGGACAAUGGGGAAACCCUGAUCCAGCGA
rnacentral:rRNA from 1 species